CCUACGGGUGGCAGCAGUGGGGAAUCUUGCACAAUGGGGGAAACCCUGAUGCAGCGACGCCGCGUGAGUGAAGAAGUAAUUCGUUAUGUAAAGCUCUGUCAUCAGGGAAGAAAAUGACGGUAACUGAGUAAGAAGCCCCGGCUAACUACGUACCAGAAGCCGCGGUAAUACUUAGGGGGCAAGCGUUAGCCGGAUUUACGGGGUGAAGAGGGAGCGUAGACGGCAGUGCAAGUCUGGAGUGAAAGGCGGGGGCUCAACCCUCGGACUGCUCUGGAAACUGUACGGCUGGAGUGCAGGAGAGGUAAGUGGAAUUCCUAGUGUAGCGGUGAAAUGCGUAGAUAUUAGGAGGAACACCAGUGGCGAAGGCGGCUUACUGGACUGUAACUGACGUUGAGGCUCGAAAGCGUGGGGAGCAAACAGGAUUAGAUACCCCGGUAGUC
rnacentral:rRNA from 1 species